UACGUAGGGUGCGAGCGUUGUCCGGAAUUACUGGGCGUAAAGCGUGCGCAGGCGGUUUUGUAAGUCUGUCGUGAAAUCCCCGGGCUCAACCUGGGAAUUGCGAUGGAGACUGCAAGGCUAGAAUCUGGCAGAGGGGGGGUAGAAUUCCACGUGUAGCAGUGAAAAUGCGUAGAGAUGUGGAGGAACACCGAUGGCGAAGGCAGCCCCCCUGGGUCAAGAUUGACGCUCAUGCACGAAAGCGUGGGGAGCAAACAGG
rnacentral:rRNA from 1 species